AGCGGCAGGCUUAAUACAUGCAAGUCGAGGGGCAGCACGAAUAGCAAUAUUUGGUGGCGACCGGCAAACGGGUGCGGAACACGUACGCAACCUUCCUUUAAGUGGAGAAUAGCCCGGGGAAACCCGGAUUAAUACUCCGUAACAUUUUGAAGUGGCAUCACUUUAUAAUUAUAGAUUUAUCGCUUAAAGAUGGGCGUGCGCCUGAUUAGGUAGUUGGCGGGGUAACGGCCCACCAAGCCUGCGAUCAGUAACUGGUGUGAGAGCACGACCAGUCACACGGGCACUGAGACACGGGCCCGACUCCUACGGGAGGCAGCAGUAAGGAAUAUUGGUCAAUGGACGCAAGUCUGAACCAGCCAUGCCGCGUGGAGGAUGAAGGUCCUCUGGAUUGUAAACUUCUUUUAUUUGGGAAGAAAUGUGAAAAUUCUUUUUCACUUGACGGUACCAGAUGAAUAAGCACCGGCUAACUCCGUGCCAGCAGCCGCGGUAAUACGGAGGGUGCAAGCGUUAUCCGGAUUUACUGGGUUUAAAGGGUGC
rnacentral:rRNA from 1 species